rnacentral:misc_RNA from 1 species
AACGCACAUUGCGCCCCUUGGUAUUCCAUGGGGCAUGCCUGUUCGAGCGUCAUCUACACCCUCAAGCUCUGCUUGGUGUUGGGCGUCUGUCCCGCCUCCGCGCGCGGACUCGCCCCAAAUCCAUUGGCAGCGGUCCUUGCCCCCUCUCGCGCAGCACAUUGCGCUUCUCGAGGGCGGCUCCGGGCCUGCGACCCACGAAGAUGACCACCGUCUUUGACCUCGGAUCAGGUAGGGAUACCCGCUGAACUUAA